GGCAGCCAAUUGAUGAUUCUAUCUCAUCGUUGAUGUUUCUAUCGCUCUCUCCCUCUUCCUUCCUCUCUGAAAUCAAUAAAAAUAAAAUUUUAAAAAUAAGGAGAUUAUAGGAGUAAUGCCUUUAUUCAACCUCUGAUGAGGUGCAUUUUCCAGUGACACACUGGUAGGCAGAGCAGGGGUGGAGCGAGACCCUGAGAUUUCAGAAUUUAGGCUGAGUCCUGGCAGCAAAGCCAGGCCAACAAAGACAAGGACUGAUGUUUUGACACUCAUAAAUCUGUCCGGAGGCUCUCAGGAAUAUGAUUGAUGGGGCUGAAUCGGUGAAUGAAUUCAUGACUCCAGGUGAAACCAUUCGGGGAAACGGCACUGUGAAAUUGUGAAACCAGCCCUAAAUGGUUUGGCUCAGUGGGUAGAGCAUCAGCCUGCGGACUGAAGGGUCCCAGGUUCGAUUCCGGUCAAGGGCAUGUACCUCGAUGUGUCUCUCUCAUCGAUGUUUCUAACUCUCUACCCCUCUCUCUUCCUCUCUGUAAAAAAAGAAAAAAAAAUCAAUGAAAUAUAUUUUUUUAAAAAAAGAAAUUGUGAAAUCAUAAAACCUAACUCCUAGAGGCUGGCAAUGGUCGAAAAUUGGGAGCUACCCCUCAGCUCCCAGCCCCUGAUGAGGUUUGCCUCAGCGCCACCUGCUGGCGGGCACUGACUGGCCAGCUCCUAUAGAGCCGGGAGCCUGUCACAAGGAUGCGGGAGGAGUCUCUCUCCGGGAACAGCAUUUACCUGAUUUAUCCCAGAGGGUCAGUCCAGAAAACAGAGCAAAGCCUUGGAAAAGGAAAAAGAGAUUCCUGCUUUUCCCUUCAGAGGAGGGCUUUCCCCGCUAGGCGUCCGCUGAUGAUGAUUCGAUUCUUUAAAGAUUCCUCAUCCACAGAACGGGAAUAAGAAUGGAACGAGACAGAGCCUGGUACACAGUAACUGUGAGGUCUCCCCACCACUAGAUGAACUUCAGGAGGAUGACCACCAGCGGCCAGUAUCAGGGCCCCAGAAUCCAAGCGGAAAAUGGUCUGAGACCCAGUGCUGAGGGGACCACAGCAUCCAGCAGGCUUAAGUCAGCACCUCUGAGAUGGCAGCAUCAGGAGACUCCUUGGGGUCCAAGCAUCCGACCCCCAUGAGAUGAAGGAGCUUCAUCCUACAAUGCAUGGAGCCAGGUCAAAGAACUGGGAUGGGCCUCACACGGAGGGUACAGGAUGGAGACUUAGACACCAGUCAUUCAUCCUUUCCUCCAACAAAUGUUUAUUAAGCAGCUCCUAUGUUUCGGCUGUUAGACGCCCUGGGGAGGCCGCAAAUAAACCAAUACAGUGUGUGAGUUUGUGUGUGUGCAUGUGUGUGGUGUACGAGAUACUGAAAAGUCCUAGGGCUAAUAAAUUAAAGAUAAACAGGGAAAUAGGGACGGUGGGAAUGGUUUGCAAUUUUAAAUAGGAUGGUGCAAGGAGACCAGAGAUGUGGUAGGAGUAAGCCAUGAGGAUAUCUGAGGGAGGAGUGUCCAGGCAAAGGGGAAAGCACGUGCAAAUGCCCGGGGGCAAGAUUGUGCCUGCUCUGGUUCAAGGAGCAGUGAAGAAACUUAGGGGGUGGGGGCUGGAGGAGGGAGCCAGAUGGCGCAGGGUCUUACCGGCCACUGGGAUGCCCAAAUGAGGAUACAACGCGUAGUGACAAAGGUGCGCGAUGGAGACAAGCACAGAGCCGCUCAUUAGACAACUUGAAACUGUGUCUCAUCACCCAACCACACCUCCCACAGUGCAGCAUGAAUUAAUAUUUUCUAUAAAUCCUGUAAUUAUCCUGUGAAUAGCGCAAUUAUAUUGCAUUGUGUUUGUGUGUAUUAAAAGCAUUCGUUUAAGUGUAAACACUUAAAAUAUAACAUGUAUUAUGCAACACUUUUUACUUUUUUUUAUUUAAUAAACUGGAAGCCUUAACAUGG